CUGUUACUGAUAAUGUCAUUGCUACUAUUUAUGCUACUCAUCCAACUCCUAUGGAGAAAUAUGGAAGUUGUGGUUGAAAAGGUUUGCAACAGGUUUGGUGGAGUCACAUGUAUUGUUUAUACUAUUGUUUUAAUUCUAUUUUCAUCUAUCAUGUGCUAAUAUGACAACUUAUUAUCAUGUCAGGUUUUCAUGCAUGACUUCAUUAUAAGAUAUAAUGUCAUGGCACCUUGCAUUUUUGUUGAAUAUAGCUUACGCUUGGACUAGUCUCUUAUUUACCCAUAUCGGAGACAUACUUCAUUAAUAACCUAGCAAGAGUAAGGAGUUUGCAACUGGAACUCAAGUCUCACAUUGAGGAGUUUGAGAAGCUUGACAAAUUCCAUAUGGAACAAAUGGAAGAAGAGGUUACUGCAAGAAAUGCCCACAUACAUCAACAGAAAGUUGGUAGUUUGGAAUGUUUUAUGGUAGCUAAGAGCAGUGCAGAAGAAUUUUCAAAAAUUGAUAUUGUUGAAGGAGAAUCUUAGAAGAUGAGGAAUGCUCUUGUUGGUGUAUUGGGAAAGUUGAUUAUGUAGGUCUUUACGGAUGUUGAGGGUAAAGUGAGUUCAAAAUCUAUUCAGCUUCAAACCAAGCAAGCCAUUUUGGAAAUAUUGCUAGAGCGAUGUCGAGAUGUUUCAGCUUAUUAUAUUAGAAGUAAGGUUCUUCAAGUUUUGAGGAACUAUUUUGACAACAUUUUGUUUUAAUUUGCAUGCAAAAUGAGGUUGUUGUAGUUGCAACAGGGAGGUUGGAGGAUAAGAAUGCAAUGCCUUAGAGCAGUAGAAGAAUUUGAGUGACCUUCAACCAAUUGAUGUAUAUGGAGUCAUGUGUCCGAAGGAAGCUAUUUCCGAUGCUUCUACUGAGAAGAACUUGAUUGGCCGCUAUACACCUUUCCAAUCAAAGCUUUGUAGAAAUUAAAUUGUAUUCUAAUGUUAAAUGAAUAUUGUAAGUAAUUUUCUUCCAGAUAUCUUUGGAAAAUAGGUUUCCAGUAGGUUUAGUUGGAGUCUCAGGUGUUCUUUAUGCUAUUAUUUCAAUUCUCUUUUCAUUCUA